GUGUAAGUUGUUAAGGGCACACGGUGGAUGCCUUGGCAUCAGGAGCCGAUGAAGGACGUGUGAAUCUGCGAUAAGCCUCGGGGAGCCGAUAACUGGGCGUGGAUCCGAGGAUUUCCGAAUGGGGAAACCUCGCUCAUCGUUAUGGUGGGUGACCGCUGGUUGAAUGUAUAGGCCAGUUGGGGGGAACGCGGGGAAGUGAAACAUCUCAGUACCCGCAGGAAGAGAAAAUAAUAAUGAUUCUGUUAGUAGUGGCGAGCGAACGCGGAUGAGACUAAACCUGUGGUGUGUGAUAGCGGUUAGGUGUUGCAUCAUGGGUGUUGUGGGAGUUGUUGUGGUGGUUCUAACUGGUCACCGGCGUAGUGCAUGAUGGUAGGCGAACUGGCUUGGAAUGGUCGACCGUAGUGGGUGAGAGUCCCGUAGUUGAAAGUGUUGUGUGUGCGUUGACAAUGUCCCGAGUAGCACGGGGCUCGUGGAAUCUCGUGUGAAUCUGCCAGGACCACCUGGUAAGUCUAAAUACUUCCUGAUGACCGAUAGUGGAUCAGUACCGUGAGGGAAUGGUGAAAAGUACCCCGGGAGGGGAGUGAAAUAGUACCUGAAACCGUGUGCUUACAAGCCGUUAUAGCCCCCCUUUUUUUGUGUGGGGUGGUGGCGUGCCUUUUGAAGAAUGAGCCUGCGAGUUAGUGUUUUGUCGCGAGGUUAACCCGUGUGGGGUAGUCGUAGCGAAAGCGAGUCUGAAGAGGGCGUUGUAGUGGCAGGAUCUAGACCCGAAGCGGAGUGAUCUAUCCAUGGCCAGGUUGAAGCACGUGUAAGAGCGUGUGGAGGACCGAACCCACCUAGGUUGAAAACUGGGGGGAUGAGCUGUGGAUAGGGGUGAAAGGCCAAUCAAACUCUGUGAUAGCUGGUUCUCCCCGAAAUGCAUUUAGGUGCAGCGUUACAUGUUUCUUGCUGGAGGUAGAGCUACUGGAUAGCCGAUGGGCCCGUGAGGGUUACUGACGUUAGCUAAACUCCGAAUGCCGGUAAGUGAGAGUGUAGCAGUGAGACAGUGGGGGAUAAGCUUCAUUGUCGAGAGGGAAACAGCCCAGACCAUCAACUAAGGCCCCUAAGCGUGUGCUAAGUGGGAAAGGAUGUGGAGUUGCUGAGACAACCAGGAGGUUGGCUUAGAAGCAGCCAUCCUUGAAAGAGUGCGUAAUAGCUCACUGGUCAAGUGAUUCUGCGCCGAUAAUGUAGCGGGGCUCAAGUACACCGCCGAAGUUGUGGCAAUCAGCUUUUUGUGGCUGGUUGGGUAGGGGAGCGUCCUGCACGAGGUGAAGCUGCCACGGGAGUGUGUGGUGGAUUGUGUGGGAGUGAGAAUGCAGGCAUGAGUAGCGAAUCACGGGUGAGAAACCCGUGCGCCGGAUGAUCAAGGGUUCCAGGGUCAAGUUAAUCUGCCCUGGGUUAGUCGGGGCCUAAGGCGAGGCCGACAGGCGUAGUCGAUGGAGAACGGGUUGAUAUUCCCGUACCAGUGAAGGACCGUCCAUACUGAUAUUGUGAUGCUAACCAUGCCGAUCACGGUGUCAUGAAGUUUUUCUUUGUGGUGUUGUGGGGUGUGUGGGACCCAAGCUUUGGAGGUAAGCGUGUUAACAGGUGUGACGCAGGAAGGUAGCCAAGCCACGCGGUGGUUGUCGUGGUCUAAGCGUGUAGGAUGACUGGUUGUUAAAUGCGCUGGUUGUGUGUCUGAGACGUGAUGGGACCCCUUGUUUGUGGGGGAUUUGGUGAUCCUAUGCUGCCGAGAAAAGCAUCGGCGUGAGGUUUUAGCUGCCCGUACCCGAAACCGACACAGGUGAUCAGGUAGAGAAUACUAAGGCGAUCGAGAGAAUCAUGGUUAAGGAACUCGGCAAAAUGCCCCCGUAACUUCGGGAGAAGGGGGGCCCUGAGCGUGAUCUGCCCGUGCGGUGGGGAGCGUGUAGGGGUCGCAGAGACCAGGGGGAAGCGACUGUUUAUCAAAAACACAGGUCCGUGCGAAGUCGUAAGACGAGGUAUACGGACUGACUCCUGCCCGGUGCUGGAAGGUUAAGAGGAUUGGUUAGCCCUGUGUGGGCGAAGCUGAGAAUUUAAGCCCCAGUAAACGGCGGUGGUAACUAUAACCAUCCUAAGGUAGCGAAAUUCCUUGUCGGGUAAGUUCCGACCUGCACGAAUGGAGUAACGACUUCCCUACUGUCUCAACCAUGAACUCGGUGAAAUUGCAGUACGAGUAAAGAUGCUCGUUUCGCGCAGCAGGACGGAAAGACCCCGUGACCUUUACUAUAGUUUGGUAUUGGUGUUUGGGUUGGCUUGUGUAGGAUAGGUGGGAGACUGUGAAGCUGUCACGCUAGUGGUGGUGGAGUCGUUGUUGAAAUACCACUCUGGUCAAUCUGGAUGUCUAACUUCGGGCCAUGAUCUGGUUCAGGGACAGUGCCUGAUGGGUAGUUUAACUGGGGCGGUUGCCUCCUAAAGUGUAACGGAGGCGCCCAAAGGUUCCCUCAGCCUGGUUGGCAAUCAGGUGUUGAGUGUAAGUGCACAAGGGAGCUUGACUGUGAGAGUGGCGACUCGAGCAGGGACGAAAGUCGGGACUAGUGAUCCGGCAGUGGCUUGUGGAAGCGCUGUCGCUCAACGGAUAAAAGGUACCUCGGGGAUAACAGGCUGAUCUUGCCCAAGAGUCCAUAUCGACGGCAUGGUUUGGCACCUCGAUGUCGGCUCGUCGCAUCCUGGGGCUGGAGUCGGUCCCAAGGGUUGGGCUGUUCGCCCAUUAAAGCGGUACGCGAGCUGGGUUCAGAACGUCGUGAGACAGUUCGGUCCCUAUCCGCUGCGCGCGUUGGAGAAUUGAGAAAGGCUGUCCUUAGUACGAGAGGACCGGGACGGACGAACCUCUGGUAUGUCAGUUGUACCGCCAGGUGCAUGGCUGAUUGGCUACGUUCGGGAGGGAUAACCGCUGAAGGCAUCUAAGCGGGAAGCCUGUUUCGAGAUGAGUUCUCCUGGCACUCUUUGUGGUGUGUGAGGCUCCUUAGAGAUGAUGAGGUUGAUAGGCUGGGUAUGGAAGCGUUGUAAGGCGUGGAGUUGACUGGUACUAAUAGGCCGAAGACUUAUUCACA
rnacentral:rRNA from 1 species